GUAACCCUGCGCUGGGUACCUGCCUUCCCUCUCCAGCUACCGGGGCGGGGCGCGGCGCGGCGCGGCGCGGCGCGGCGGGCUGCCCGGGUGGGGGAUGAAGAAAGCACGGCGGACCCAGGGCAGCGAAGCGCAGCUGCUAUCGACAACACUUACAGCCUCCAGAAAUGACCCUUGGUGCCGACUUGUCUGGAAGCCAUCAGGGUUAGUUUUGAAGCAGGAAUCUUCAAGUGGACCAGAGGACAGGGUCUCUCUUUGUUGCCUAGGCUGGAGUGCAGUGGAACGAACUUGGCUUAUUGAAGCAUUGACCACCUGGACCCAAGUGAUUCUCCUACCUUAGCCUCUUGAAUAGCUGUGACAACAGGUGUGCACUACCACACCCAGAUAAAUUUUGUAAUUUUUAUAGAGAGGGCAUUUGACCAUGUUGCCCAGGCUGGUCUCAAACUCCUGAGCUCAAGUGAUACUCCUGCCUCGGCCUCCCAAAGUGCUGGGAUUACAGAUGAAGAAAAUGAGGCACUGAGAGAUUACAUAACUUCCCUUGAGUCAUAUUUGCUUGUAAGUGGUAAGGCUGGAUGUUGAACCCAGGACAAAGGGAGCCCAGUGGAGGAUCCCUGGAGGAGCAAAUAGAAGAAACCCAAAAGGGACUUGAAAGCGGGUCCCCUCCCUCACCUGGAUUCCCAGUCCGAAGAGGAGGAAGCAUCCGCCCUCCUUCCCUCCUUCUGACCCACCCAGCCACCCACCCAAGGUGCCAUUAAAGUUAAUUGUUUUUACUGCCAGUUUAACAUAGUCUUGUAAAUCUUUUUACGAUGUGGCCGGGGAACACCGAGCUGCAUGCAGGACUCAAUGGAGUUGGAGCACAGGAGCGUGGCCCCAGAGCUAUCUGGAGGGUGUAAAAUGGGAGCGCCACGUCUCUCCAGGGGCACCCUCUUCCCUCCUCCUGGAGCACCAGGCCCAAGACCCUCAUCUGAGUGGCAGUUCUCCCAGGCGAGGCUAGGAUUGUGCCUGGAAUGCUAAGAUCCUCCAGGUCACCCCCACUGUUUCGAGAGGCCAUCCCUCUUGACUCUAAGUUGUGGAAUCCUCCAGAAUCCGAGGCCUCCAAGCCCUGGAGAGAGGUUCUGGAUCCUUCAGAAAGGUUGAGGGGUGAUUCCCAUAUAGAAAGCUUGGCGCUGGGUCUCUCCAUUUGCCCACCAAGGACCGGCAGGCAAAAGCACUGCAAGGUGGACGUUUAGGGGUAUGAGGGGCGCACAUUCCAUGGCGCAGGGACUCUGGAGGUGCAGGUCUUCUACGAAGGUGAUUCCGCCAUUUCCCAGCCAUUACCAGCGGAGAGAGCUGAGUCUUCCUGAACAGCGCCUUUAAGCUGGUUUGUCCCAGGUUGGUGGAGCGGGACUCAGCGGUUUCUGUCCCUUGGGUAGACCUUGGCUUCCAUCUGUCUGGGUACAGGCACGAUUUCCCUCUCCCGGUUCCUGGCAUCCCCAUUGUGAGCCAUCCAUGUCAAAAUAAGGGUCUUAACUCCCACCGUUGUCACUAGCAUUAAACAGACACUCCUAAUGUGCCCAGAAAAAUGCCAGGCGCACGCUAAACAUCUGUAAACCACGGUGACAGCUCUAAGCGUUCAUGAUUAAGCCCAAAUAUUUAUUAGGCACUGGUGUGCAAGCCUUGUGUAAGUGCUGAGGACACACAGAGAAGAACGACGUACUUUCCUCUAAAGAGGGUUUUUUGUUAUUGACAAAGGAACCUAGAGGGCAUCAACGCAACACACAGAGCAGUCCUUCCCAAAACAUACCCCGGGAACCGGUUAGAAAUGCGCAUUCUCAGGCCCAGCUGAGACCAAUUGAAUGAGGUGUCCGGGAGCGGGGCCCAGAAUUCCUGUUUUAACAAAGCCCCCACGUGAUUGUGAGCUCCUUAAGGUUCGAGAACCCUGAUGCAGUGAACGCAGGCGCAGGCUCUGGAGUGAGAAAUUGUGGGUUUUCAUCUCCUUGCAUCUAUGUUGUGGGGCUUUGACCAAGAAAUGGUAACAAACUCAGAAGGGGAGAAGGGGAAAGAGAGUGGAUGGAGUAGGGGCGGUGAGAAGGAAGACAAGGGAAUAACCAGCCCUCUUCCCAACAGGGCUUCCUCGAUCAGAGGCCGAAUUUCCGAGCAGGAUAGACCAGGGGGCUCGAACUAAUAAUUCUGAGGGGUCAGAAAGGCCUCUCAAAACGCGCCGCGAUUUGAAACCUGCAAACGCGGGGUUCAGGUCGGCUCCGUUUCUUCCAAGCAGCCUGCCUUUGGGGCACCCAACCCUUCCCAAGCCUCGGUUUUCCCGAUCUUGUGGGAUCCUUGCGGCGCGAAUGGGGUUGGAAGCACCUUGGAAGCUACAGAGUACCGGGUCGGGACAAUUUCCGGCACUGCCCCAGUUCAGUGGUUUAUAGAAAAUUUCUUUCUCUCUCUCAGGUCCACUAAGACCGAGAGAGAGAGAGAAGUCGACUCUGGCACACCCGGGCGAGGGGCUGCCGGGAUUCGGGAGCUGGCGCGGUUGAUUUUUUCCGAGAAUCCUCCACUUGGGGUGACGUCGGGCAGCGCGCGCGGGCCGUGAGGUUAAUGCCCAGGCUUUUCUCUAAAGCGUCCGGGAAUGAUCCGGCGAAUAAAA
rnacentral:lncRNA from 1 species